rnacentral:rRNA from 1 species
GGAAGAACAUACGUGUAAGUAACUGUGCACGUCUUGACGGUACCUAAUCAGAAAGCCACGGCUAACUACGUGCCAGCAGCCGCGGUAAUACGUAGGUGGCAAGCGUUAUCCGGAAUUAUUGGGCGUAAAGCGCGCGUAGGCGGUUUUUUAAGUCUGAUGUGAAAGCCCACGGCUCAACCGUGGAGGGUCAUUGGAAACUGGAAAACUUGAGUGCAGAAGAGGAAAGUGGAAUUCCAUGUGUAGCGGUGAAAUGCGCAGAGAUAUGGAGGAACACCAGUGGCGAAGGCGACUUUCUGGUCUGCAACUGACGCUGAUGUGCGAAAGCGUGGGGAUCAAACAGGAUUAGAUACCCUGGUAGUCCACGCCGUAAACGAUGAGUGCUAAGUGUUAGGGGGUUUCCGCCCCUUAGUGCUGCAGCUAACGCAUUAAGCACUCCGCCUGGGGAGUACGACCGCAAGGUUGAAACUCAAAGGAAUUGACGGGGACCCGCACAAGCGGUGGAGCAUGUGGUUUAAUU